ensembl:lncRNA
AAAUGUCCUUAGUCCACACUGCAUUUUCUCAUUUUAUAAUUUAAAGUGAGGAUGUCUAACAUAUAAUUGAAUCUGCAGUAACCCGUGGGCUUUGGUGAUAAUCAUUUCUUUCCACGCAAAUCCAGAUAACCUUUACUUUUUUUGUGUUCUCUGCAAAAUCCAUGGCUUACCAUGUGCUCUAACACCAUGUAGUUUUAUAAUCCUUUAUGCAUCACAGAGGGAAAUUUGGGUCCUCCUGGCUUGUGACCCGAUCCUGGAACUCUACUCGCAUUAGUGCUCCAGGGCUUGGUGCUAAACUCUUUUUCUGUCUAUAGUAUUCCUCUGUGUAAGCUCAGGUUCAUAGCACCAUCUAUGUGCUUAUGCCUUUCAAAUCCAUAACUCCAGCCAGAACCUCUUUCAGAAACUCUAGACUCAUGCAUCUAAUAGCUAACAUCUCCAAUUGGAUGCAGUUAAAGGAACUCUCUGUUCUGCCCACCAAGGACACAGGCAGUAAAGCCAGAUGACCUUAGUUCGUAGCCCAAAUCAGAAGAGUAUCCAGCACUUAAUAAACUCUCAAUAUAUAUGAGUCAUUAUUAUUUUCUAUUAUUACUGAGUAGGGGUGAAAUAUACUGCAAACUUUCUGCUUCUCUUCACUAAGAACCUGGGAAAAAAUCUACAGCCAGAUAUAACUAAGAACAGUUUCCAAUUGCUGCCUAAAUAUCUCUUUUUCAUUUGUAGACAUUCUUCAUGUUUCUUUCACACAACUCCUUGUUUUUGCUUUCACAUCAUUUAGUCCAUAUGCUAUUUGCUUGUAUGCGAUCUUUAUUACUAUUCUCUGAUUUCUUAUUCACUGCCUUUUAUUACCUAAAGUCCAGAGUCAAUACUGAAUAACAGGGUAUUCCUAAGGACCUUUCAUUUAUAUUAUGUCUAAGGUUAACUUCAUGCUGCAACGGCAGGGUUGAGGAGUUGUGGAAGAGAUCAUAAGAUCAACAACAUUUAACAUAUUUGCUAUUUCAUCCUUUACAGAAAAUGCUUGCUGACCCUGGCUCUAGAAAUUUAUCUAAAACCUGCGUCAUGGCAACUAGUAUCAUAUUCCCCCCAAAAAGUGUGAAUUUAGUUUCAGUGAAACAAGUGACAUACAUGAAUGCUAAUUUCUUGGACUUUUAUUAGUUUUGUAAUUUGAUUUUAAACUUAUUUUGGUACAGUUGGACAAGAACUCUAAACAUGAAGAUUUCACAUAUUUUCAUUUUCAAACUCAAGUAUUAUAAAUCAUUUAGGGAUAUUUACAAAGUCUAGGAAGACUUGCUUUUAUUUAGCAGAGUUCUAUGCUUUCAUAUUUGAGAAACUCUUCAGUAUACAAAUGUUAAAAAAUUCUGGUUGUUAUGAUUAUGAGCUGGAACUGUGAUUCAUGAGUCUCUUCCGGGCUUCCUCUCUACCCUGGCUGUAUAGCAACUUCUCCAACUAUUUGUGAAUGAGGGACAGGCUUUUACUUUUCCCCAAUCUAUCACAGCUUGAUAUUCUUUUUACAAAAUCAAUAAAAUAAUUAUUAGAGAAAUAGUCACACACUUGGGGGGUACAAUGAUGUUAAAUUACUACAAAAAUUUGUAAGUGUGUACUCUGUUUCAAUUCUCAUCAAAGAUCAGUUAAAAACAAGAAUCUUAAAAUGGAUGUGUGUAUAUGUAUAACUGAAUCACUUUGUUGUACAACAGAAAUUACCACAACAUUAUAAAUCAACUAUACUUCAGUAAAAUUUAAAAAACAAACAAACAAACAGUAUGUGCAUGAGCACAAGUUAAAAACCCACAGUAGCAUUGCAUUACAGGAUUCAUAUAGGGUAUUAAAGUCAUUGAAAUUAGAUGAGAGGGAGAGAUUGUUCCUAAAUUUAAGGGUAGACUGGAUUCCUAGAAUGAACCGAGGAAUCCAGUUCGUUCAUAGAAUAGAUGCCUACGAUUUCUUGAGGCAAAUGUUCAAGACCCUUAAAUCUCAGUUGCCAAGAAUCUAGGUCUGGGGACAAGGGAGAUAUACCUCUUCAGCAACACUUUUCAAAGUAUAUCCACUGACCACUAUAUUCACGUAUGCACCCAUAAAUUUAAAUAAUCGUUUUUGAACAGAUGAGAUAUUCCAGGACCUAUUGUAGUGACCGGAAAUACAGGCUUCAGCGAGAUGAAAAUUCUUGUGCUUAUAUAAUUUACAUUCUGGAAAGAGAUACUGGAAAAUAAAGACAUACAUACACAGAAGAAAAAAACCUGGAACUCUGAUUUGUGUUAUACAGGGAAUUAAAAUGGUGUGAUUUGAUAGAGAGUGGCAGAGUGGAGCUUUUUUUGGGUAGCCAAGGAAGCCCCAAAACAUGAAUGAUAAAGAACUAGCUAUAAUUUAGAGAAAAGCAUUCCAGGAAGAAAAAAAAACAAGAAGUGGAAAGUUUUCAAUGCAGCAAUAAUUUCAGGGGUUAGAGCAGAAAGAAGGCCUUCUACACUAUUGUAGGUAAUAAGGAGAGUAGUAAAAAUAAAAUCAUAGAAGUACCUGGGGGAAAAAUUAUGUAGGGUUGUAUAUCCCAGUAAAAGUGAAUUGGAUUUUACUCAGUGUUCAAUGGAAAAACUCUGGGGGGGGGCACUGAAUGGUCUACAUUUUACGUGUCACCAUUUCACCAUAAUGUGUUUGUAAAGAAAGCAUGGCAGGUUAGCCAGAGUAUAAGCAUUCCAUUGUGGCACAGCAGAACGAAUCCGACUUGUAUCCAUGAGGAUGCCAGUUCAAUCCAUGGUCUUGCUCAGUGGGUUAAGGAUCUGGCAUUGCCAUGAGCUGUGGUUUAGGUCGCAGACAUGGCUUGAAUCUGGCAUUGCUAUGGGCAUGGUGUAGGCCAGCAGCUGCAGCUCUGAAUUGACCCCUAGCCUGGGAAGUUCCAUAUGCCCUGGGUUCAGUCCUUAACAAAAAAAAAAAAAAAAAAGUAGAUCUGUAUAUUGAAUUUUGGGGAAAGAAAGUGAGAAGAAGGUGAGACUAGUUGAGUUGAAUCAUUCUAAACCUCUUUUCCAAGAAAAAUGAAAAUAUUAUCAUUUCCAAAUAGAAAUAGCUUGGGAGAUAGGCACAGUAACAUUUUCAAUCCAUACUACUAGCAAAGAGGUCUCUGAAACAACCAAAUUCCCAAUAGCUAUGCAAAAUAGUAACUCAUUAACACUGCCACUUUAGGAAAAUAAAAAUAUUGCCACAACAGACAUAUCAGUUAAAAACUAUGAGCUCUCUUCAACAUUGUCCAAAGAUAGUUCUUCCCACGCACCUUGAUAUUUGCUAUUUGAAUCAAUUCUUUGAACUUUUCAUUUCUGAGUUGUGACUUUCAUUUCUGAGUUGUGUCCUUGUGCUAUGUCUUUUCAUUUCACCACUAUAAUAAUAACUCGGUUUAUUGGAAAUUGCAGCCGAUACCCCUAAUACCCACGUCACAUCUCUAUGGCCUCCCUCUAAUUUCAGGUGUGGCAAGAACCAGCUUUUUUUCCCUAGGAACUCAGAUGCAUGGUGCCCUGACAGCAUUUAGCCUCAACCACACACCCUACAUAUUUUUGCUUUCUGCCUUGGAAGUUUUCCUUAAGAGGAGCCUGCUAUCUCUGCUUAGCUCACUGAGCCCAUGAACACAAGUACAGCCUGGAUUUAUGAGAGGGUUAAUCAUGUGGGGAAACACUCAACCCAAUGGAGAAGAAUGACUGAAUGUUCCAGUCCCCUGCCUUUAAGUCACCCAAAUCUGGGAAACAUUCCGUUUGUUCCCCAUGAGGUCCAAGCCAAGCUGAGUUCCUAAGGCCCACAGUGGUAAAUGUCCUAAUGUUUCCUUGCACUGAAUUUUCUUUCUUCCCUCACAUCAUCCCAGUUACCUUCAUUCCUCCAUUUUUCCCUCUGGAUCUAUCUCCCAUAUGAACUAUCUGAAUACAAGUCUUGCUUGAGUACCUUCUUUUGGGACAACCUCCCAAUAAGACAUAUCACUACCUCUGAUAAAUAAUCUAAAUAAUCUGUAAAAUAUUUUACUGAUAUUUUGUCUGAUUUCCACCACAAUCUAAAAGUUACAUCUUAGUUUCCCUAUUUUAUGUUAAGAAAUUUAAGAUUCCAAGAAAUUAAGCAACUUGUCCAAAGUCCAAUUGCAAGUAGACAGUGAGGCCAGUAUUCUAAAUACGAAUGUCUGACUGCAACAGAGCAGGUUUUUACUCUAUACUCGAGCGAUGCUACAAGAUAUAUUUCAUUCAAUUUUGGCUUGGUAUUUGGCAAAAGCUUUCCUACUCUGGUCUUGCUCUGGGCUUUAUCUCUGGUGUUUACUCUUGAUUUAUUCCUUCUUGGGAUGUUUCUAACCCCUGAUUAGGAUGGCUCAGAGCCUCAGAAAAUCUCCCCCUACAUGACACAGCUUAGAUUCCAGGAAAACCAGUGCUGAUGGAUUAAAAAGAGCUUGCCUUUAUAGGUGGUAGACUUGAGCAAAGAUUAACGAUGCCUGGUUUUCAUUUUUGGCUCUGGUGAGCAUCAGAUUAGUUCUUAUGGAGAUCACAAGCAAUUUUUUCUGUCUCUCUUUAUAUGUUUUUCUUAAGUUGAAUUUAAGAUGUGCAUUAGUUUAUUAUAUUACCUGAAUACAGUUGUAGUAUUAUAAUUUUUAGAAACCCUUAAUGAGUGGAAAAUUAUGAAUUCCUACCUGGUGUGUUUUUACCCAGGAUAUAAUAAAAAAUAAGCACUGUGGAAUUUAAAAUUUUUUAGGUACUUCUUCCUGGGUAACUUAAAUUAUGAACAUUUUUUCUAUCUCUUUAAGGCUAUGAAAUAAUAUUUUGUUAAUUUCCAUGAACUGAAUAUGUUUCUUCUCUCAAAGUGGUAGCUGGGAGCAGAUAUAAUUUGUUGAGUUGUUACUGAUGUAUUAACUGCUUUUUAAUGCAUGUCAAAGGAACUUUGAUUGGCUAAACCAAUACGCUGCACUCAUUCCUAAAAUCAAUUUCUUAUUCCACUGUAGAAGCUGGAAGCAUAAUCACAUUUCUGUCCACCUUUGCAGGAUAGCCAUAUAACAUAAUUCUGGCCUAUGAUACCUAAGUAAACAUACAUUGGUUAGGGGUUUAUACAACGGCUUUGCUAUUCUAGAUGAAAAAGAUGGAUAAGUCUGAGGUGACCAAUCACCAUCAUUUCAUUUUCCUGUCUUGAAUGUAAAUUUGAUGCCUUGAGCUGUGGCAGCUAUCUUGUGCCCAUGAGGUAAAGACCAAGAUGAUCACAUUUAUUAUGAUCAACAGAAUAGUUAUAAAAAUGUUUCUGUACAUUUAUGAUUGCAGGAGGCAUUGCAGAAAGCAUAAAUGAGUGUUACUAUGACUCUUGCACUAAAAUCACAUAUUUGUAGUAGUGU